rnacentral:rRNA from 1 species
AUUGAACGCUGGCGGCAGGCCUAACACAUGCAAGUCGAGCGGAACGGCGGACGGGUGAGUAAUGCCGAGGAAGCUGCCUGGUAGUGGGGGAUAACGUCGGGAAACGGGCGCCAAGACCGCAUGCUAUCAGAGGGGCCUAGGUCGGAUUAGCGAGUUGGUGGGGUAAAGGCCUACCAAGGAGACGAUCCGUAACUGGUCUGAGAGGAUGAUCAGUCACACUGGAACUGAGACACGGUCCAGACUCCUACGGUAGGCAGCAGUGGGGAAUAUUGGACAAUGGGCGAAAGCCUGAUCCAGCCAUGCCGCGUGUGUGAAGAAGGUCUUCGGAUUGUAAAGCCCUGUUAGUUGGGAGGCGUUACCAACAGAAUAAGCACCGGCUAACUUCGUGCCAGCAGCCGCGGUAAUAC